UACGGGGGGGGCAAGCGUUGUUCGGAAUUACUGGGCGUAAAGGGCUCGUAGGCGGCCAACUAAGUCAGACGUGAAAUCCCCAGGCUCAACCUGGGAACUGCGUCUGAUACUGGAUGGCUUGAAUCCGGGAGAGGGAUGCGGAAUUCCAGGUGUAGCGGUGAAAUGCGUAGAUAUCUGGAGGAACACCGGUGGCGAAGGCGGCACACUGGACCACCACUGACGCUGAUGCGCGAAAGCCAGGGGAGCAAACGGG
rnacentral:rRNA from 1 species